GAUGAACGCUAGCGGCAGGCCUAAUACAUGCAAGACGAACGGUAAGCUUUGUAGCAAUACGGAGCCUAGAGUGUCGUAAGGGUGCGUAACACGUAUGCAAUCUACCCUGUACAGGAGUAUAGCUCCCCGAAAGGGGAAUUAACCCUCCAUCACAUAGUGAGUCGGCAUCGACUUAUUAUCAAAACUGAGGUGGUACAGGAUGAGCAUGCGUCUGAUUAGCUAGUUGGUAGUGUAAUGGACUACCAAGGCAAUGAUCAGUAGGGGAAAUGAGAGGUUGAUCCGCCACACUGGAACUUCGUAACGGGUCAGAAUCCUGCGGGAGGCAGCAAUAGGGAAUAUUGGAAAAUGGGUGAUAGCCUGAUCCAGCCAUGCCGCGUGCAGGAAGAAGGCCUUCUGGGUUGUAAACUGCUUUUAUCUGGGGAUAAAAAGUCCUUGCGAGGCAAACUGAAGGUACCAGGUGACUAAGCCACGGCUAACUACGUGCCAGCAGCCGCGGUAA
rnacentral:rRNA from 1 species